UCUCCCCGUGAAGAAGCGAGGAUAAAAUUAUAAGACGAGAAGACCCUAUGGAGCUUUAAACAAUAUAGCAUCUGCCCCCAACAUAAAAAUUUCUGAAUCUUAAACCCGUUAGGCAGUAUAACUAUAAGUUUUUGGUUGGGGUGACCACGGAGCAUAAAACAACCUCCACGCUGAAAGAAUCUUUUUUUAAGCUAAGAAUUACCUAUCUAAGCAUCAAUUUAUUGACACCCAUUGACCCAAUAUAUUUGAACAACGAACCAAGUUACCCUAGGGAUAACAGCGCAAUCCACUUCAAGAGCCCCUAUCGACAAGUGGGUUUACGACCUCGAUGUUGGAUCAGGGUUUCCCAGUGGUGCAGCCGCUACUAAAGGUUCGUUUGUUCAACGAUUAAAACCCUACG
rnacentral:rRNA from 1 species